AUGUGGCAUGGUGCUGCCAUGCUCUCUCUGUGUGGUGUGGUGUGGUGUGUGAUUUGUCAGCUAUGCACUGACUGUUGUAAUAAUUUGUUGUACUCUGACUUCCAUAUACGUAACAGUGAUGAAGAUUAUACGUGUGUUUGUUUUUGCUACAGUUUUGCGUUUUAUAAAUCCGCUGCCGAGUGUUACUUAUCUGAAUGCUGUAGCUCUAUGCUUUAUGCUUUGCUUUGUUCUGGGUUGUUUGAUGACUGUUAUAAGUUUGUAUACAUAUAUCAUGCAAAGAGCUCUUCUUAUUUUUACUGGCUAUCUGAGCACCAAGUAGUUAAUGCCGUUCAGGCUUGUAUAAUCAUCGAAGUUUGUAUACUUUGGACCCUACAGACUACAGAGCAUGAUAUAUUAGCGGGCCAUUUAAUAACUGUAUAUUAA
rnacentral:rRNA from 1 species